rnacentral:lncRNA from 1 species
CACCAACGUGCUCUGAGCCCAUUGGUUGGGUUCUCACCAUGUAGCUGCUCAGAGUGGGUGUGUGAGCACUCGGUAAAGGACACACUUGCUUAUGGAGGACAUGUCCAUGCGGCCCACACGUCCCCACCAGUGUCCGCAUUUGUGGUUCGGUUACGCUGCUCCUCAAGUUCAGUGCUCUGAAAGGUGUGCUGAGUUUUCUAAAAAGGAUCCAGGGCCCAGCCAUACUGAUGAAGUCGCAAGUCUCCGUGCAGGAGGAUAGAACAGCUCUAAACUGGAUCGUCUAUCUCUGG